rnacentral:rRNA from 1 species
UACGGGGGGGGCAAGCGUUGUUCGGAAUUACUGGGCGUAAAGGGCUCGUAGGCGGCCAACUAAGUCGGACGUGAAAUCCCUCGGCUUAACCGGGGAACUGCGUCCGAUACUGGAUGGCUUGAGUUCGGGAGAGGGAUGCGGAAUUCCAGGUGUAGCGGUGAAAUGCGUAGAUAUCUGGAGGAACACCGGUGGCGAAGGCGGCAUCCUGGACCAGCACUGACACUGAGGCACGAAAGCGUGGGGAGCAAACAGG